rnacentral:rRNA from 1 species
GACGAACCGUGCGAACGUUGUUCGGAUUCACUGGGCGUAAAGGGUGCGUAGGCGGUCGGGUAAGUCUGACGUGAAAUCUUCGAGCCUAACUCGGAAACUGCGUCGGAUACUAUUCGGCUAGAGGAAUGGAGGGGAGACUGGAAUACUUGGUGUAGCAGUGAAAUGCGUAGAUAUCAAGUGGAACACCAGUGGCGAAGGCGAGUCUCUGGACAUUUCCUGACGCUGAGGCACGAAAGCCAGGGGAGCAAACAGG